UUUGGUGAUGAUGGCAGAGAGGUCACACCCGUUUCCAUACCGAACACGGAAGUUAAGCUCUCUAGCGCCGAUGGUAGUUGGGGCCUUGCCCCUGUGAGAGUAGGACGUCGCCAAGC
rnacentral:rRNA from 1 species